rnacentral:rRNA from 1 species
ACAUCUUUUCUUGAUUUAUAUUUGAAAUUUGACCUGCCCAAUGAUUUAAUUAAAUGGCCGCGGUAAUUUGACCGUGCAAAGGUAGCAUAAUCAUUAGUCAAUUAAUUGUUGACUUGUAUGAAUGGUUGAUCGAAAUAUUGACUGUCUCAAUUUUAUUAUUAGAAUUUAAAAUUUGAGUUAAAAUGCUUAAAUUUUUUUAUUGGACGAGAAGACCCUAUAGAUCUUUAUUUUUUAAUGUUUGUUUAUUUUGGUUUUAUUUUAUAUAUUUAAAUAUUAAAUUAUUUUGUUGGGGUGACUUAAGGAUAUAAUUAACUCCUUAUAUUUUUAUACAUUUAUUUAUGAUUAAUUGACCUUUUAUUAUUGUAUUAAGAUUUAGAUACCUUAGGGAUAACAGCGUAAUUCUUUUUGAGAGUUCUUAUCGACAAAGGAGAUUGCGACCUCGAUGUUGGAUUAAGAUAAUAGUUAGGUGUAGGUGCUUAAUAUUUAGGUCUGUUCGACCUUUAAAAUCUUACAUGAUCUGA